AUGGGAAAACAGAGACCCAGAGACUCCAGAGAAAGAAAACAUCCUGUUUGCCUGGCACCAUAACCAGGAAGCAAGGGAGGCGGUGCCAACAUGCCCCGAGCAGAGGGGAGCUGGGGUCUGCCCCAGGCCUGCCCCACCUCCUCAGAGCCUCGGCUCUCUGCCUCUCAGCCCUGGUGCCCACCGAGUGGGUGGGCAGCACUGGCGGCAGGAGGCCUUGGGCAUGUUGACUGUACUUGGCGGUCACUGCAGUAUUUAUAGGGCUCGACGGGGCUUAAAAAAAAGGGGAGGGGGCGCCGCUGGAGUCGCCACGGCACUGCAGGCCCUGCCUCUCCCGCCAGGAGUCCAGUCGGGCUGGGCGCAGAGGGGAGGGGCAGCAGCAUGUGGGCCCCGGACGGAGCGUGGACUUGCUGGCGGACAUCAUGCAGCCGGUGCCCAGCUCAGAGCGGGAUCCCCACAACCGCCGCCCCCUGCUUCUCCUACCCAGGCCUCCCCACAGCCAAGGACGGGAUCCCUAGACUGUCCAGCAAGGCAGGGUUCAGACCAGGCUCAGGGCUGCACCUGUGCCUGAGGCCGGGUUUCCGCCUGGCCUGGAGGCAGGAGGUCCCCCCUGGGGCUGGAGCCCUGCGUGGAAGUGGUGCUCAGGUCCUGUCUGGGAACCUGGGGGACUGGGAACAUGUCCUCGUCCGGCAUCUGGGUCUGGAUCCCGACCGAGUCACUCCCCCAUGAGCCCCCACAGGCAGCAGGGUGGUUCUGUGUGGAGGAGGCACCUGCGGUCCCCCGCCAUCUAAGGCCCCCCACCCCGGGCCCCCAGCCAUGAAGCUUCCCCUCCAGCUCCAUCCCACCAUCUAUUGUUUUUAAUUGAUGUAUUUUAACUGGAAGCUAAUGACUUGACAAUAUUGUAGUGUUUUUUGCCACACAUUGACAUGAAUCAGACAUGGGUGUAUAUGCGUCCCCGAUCCUGAACCCCCCUCCCACCUCCCUCACCAUCAUCUACUUCUGCUUCGAGCUCUGCUGCUGAAAUCUAGCUCCACCAAGUCACCACAUUGGGAGGAGCCGGGGAGGAGCAGGGUCAGCGGUGAGCAGGCCUGGCCCCUCCCCCAGGUCCUGGGGCUCAAGGUGGCUUCGAGGUGGGGGUAGCAGGCACCCCUUUCUCCUUCAGGCCAGGCACAAGCUCCCCAGCACUGCUGCCAGCCUCCACCAGCUCACUCUGUGCCAACAGCCUGGCUGGAAGGAGCCUCCUCACGUUCACUGCAGAGCAGCCCAUAGCCCAGGCCUGGUGGGUGGGCGCUGCAGGGGCCGAGCCCUCACCCCAGGCUGGGGCAGCUCUGCAGAGCCGUCUGUGCUCCCGCGGGGCCGGCGGGCACCCCCGGGAUGAAGGCGCCCAGCGCAGCCUCUCCCCCACCCACCCCAGAAGCUGUUCCGG
rnacentral:lncRNA from 1 species